rnacentral:rRNA from 1 species
GAUGAACGCUGGCGGCGUGCCUAAUACAUGCAAGUCGAGCGAACGGACGAGAAGCUUGCUUCUCUGAUGUUAGCGGCGGACGGGUGAGUAACACGUGGAUAACCUACCUAUAAGACUGGGAUAACUUCGGGAAACCGGAGCUAAUACCGGAUAAUAUUUUGAACCGCAUGGUUCAAAAGUGAAAGACGGUCUUGCUGUCACUUAUAGAUGGAUCCGCGCUGCAUUAGCUAGUUGGUAAGGUAACGGCUUACCAAGGCAACGAUGCAUAGCCGACCUGAGAGGGUGAUCGGCCACACUGGAACUGAGACACGGUCCAGACUCCUACGGGAGGCAGCAGUAGGGAAUCUUCCGCAAUGGGCGAAAGCCUGACGGAGCAACGCCGCGUGAGUGAUGAAGGUCUUCGGAUCGUAAAACUCUGUUAUUAGGGAAGAAUAUAUGUGUAAGUAACUGUGCACAUCUUGACGGUACCUAAUCAGAAAGCCACGGCUAACUACGUGCCAGCAGCCGCGGUAAUACGUAGGUGGCAAGCGUUAUCCGGAAUUAUUGGGCGUAAAGCGCGCGUAGGCGGUUUUUUAAGUCUGAUGUGAAAGCCCACGGCUCAACCGUGGAGGGUCAUUGGAAACUGGAAAACUUGAGUGCAGAAGAGGAAAGUGGAAUUCCAUGUGUAGCGGUGAAAUGCGCAGAGAUAUGGAGGAACACCAGUGGCGAAGGCGACUUUCUGGUCUGUAACUGACGCUGAUGUGCGAAAGCGUGGGGAUCAAACAGG